AGUGAACGCUGGCGGUAGGCCUAACACAUGCAAGUCGAACGGCAGCACAGUAAGAGCUUGCCCUUACGGGUGGCGAGUGGCGGACGGGUGAGGAAUACAUCGGAGUCUACUUUUUCGUGGGGGAUAACGUAGGGAAACUUACGCUAAUACCGCAUACGACCUACGGGUGAAAGCAGGGGAUCUUCGGACCUUGCGCGAUUGAAUGAGCCGAUGUCGGAUUAGCUAGUUGGCGGGGUAAAGGCCCACCAAGGCGACGAUCCGUAGCUGGUCUGAGAGGAUGAUCAGCCACACUGGAACUGAGACACGGUCCAGACUCCUACGGGAGGCAGCAGUGGGGAAUAUUGGACAAUGGGCGCAAGCCUGAUCCAGCCAUACCGCGUGGGUGAAGAAGGCCUUCGGGUUGUAAAGCCCUUUUGUUGGGAAAGAAAAGCAGCAGGUUAAUACCCCGCUGUUCUGACGGUACCCAAAGAAUAAGCACCGGCUAACUUCGUG
rnacentral:rRNA from 1 species